rnacentral:snoRNA from 1 species
CUUCAAGCCAACUGUGCUCUUUCUCCAUGGGGGACCAGUGUGUCAUGGCUGCAAAGAGUAGCCUCCUCGGUGGUGUAUGCAGCCUGCUGAUUGCAUGGGUUGCCCUAAGAGACCUUGGAGACAGCC